rnacentral:rRNA from 1 species
UGGGGAAUAUUGCACAAUGGGCGAAAGCCUGAUGCAGCAACGCCGCGUGAGUGAUGAAGGCCUUCGGGUUGUAAAGCUCUGUCUUCUGGGACGAUAAUGACGGUACCAGAGGAGGAAGCCACGGCUAACUACGUGCCAGCAGCCGCGGUAAUACGUAGGUGGCAAGCGUUGUCCGGAUUUACUGGGCGUAAAGGAUGCGUAGGCGGAUACUUAAGUCAGAUGUGAAAAUCCCGGGCUUAACUUGGGAACUGCAUUUGAAACUGGGUAUCUAGAGUGCGGGAGAGGAGAGUGGAAUGCCGAGUGUAGCGGUGAAAUGCGUAGAGAUUAGGAAGAACACCAGUGGCGAAGGCGACUUUCUGGACCGUAACUGACGCUGAGGCAUGAAAGCGUGGGGAGCAAACA